rnacentral:rRNA from 1 species
UUGGAGGGCAAGUCUGGUGCCAGCAGCCGCGGUAAUUCCAGCUCCAAUAGCGUAUAUUAAAGUUGUUGCAGUUAAAAAGCUCGUAGUUGAAUUUCGGGGUCAGCAGGUUGGUCGUGCCACUGGUAUGAACUGGCCUUGCUGAUUCCUCCUUCUUGAAGAACCGUGAUGCCGCUAAUUUGGUGUUGCGGGGAGACAGGACUGUUACUUUGAAAAAAUUAGAGUGUUUAAAGCAGGCUCACGCUUGAAUACAUUAGCAUGGAAUAAUAAAAUAGGACGUUUAUCCUAUUUUGUUGGUUUCUAGGGUUGACGUAAUGAUUAAUAGGGAUAGUUGGGGGCAUUAGUAUUCAAUUGUCAGAGGUGAAAUUCUUGGAUUUAUUGAAGACUAACUACUGCGAAAGCAUUUGCCGAGGAUGUUUUCAUUAAUCAAGAACGAAAGUUAGGGGAUCGAAGACGAUCAGAUACCGUCGUAGUCUUAACCAUAAACUAUGCCGACUAGGGAUCGGAUGACGUUAAUUUUUUAAUGACUCAUUCGGCGCCUUACGGGAAAC